GGCCUUUUGACAAAUAUGCGGCCUGUUUAAAGAAUCUGCGCAUUUUGCCUGAUUAUGCGGAGAAUUCUGCGAUGGCAGAAUCGUGUUUUUCAGAGAGGG